rnacentral:rRNA from 1 species
CGCCUAUACACAAAAGCAAAAAUGUCCGUUUAUACAAAAAAAUAGACGGCGUUUCGGUUUUUGGCGGGAGGGAGAGAGAGGGGGGUGCGUGCGCGUGGAUAACGGCUCACAUAACGUGUCGCGAUGGAUGACUUGGCUUCCUAUUUCGUUGAAGAAGCAGUAAAGUGCGAUAAGUGGUAUCA